GCCCCGGUGGCGCAGCUGGAGAGCGCGCCGCGCUACGAACGCGGAGGCCGCAGGUUCGAAUCCUGCCCGGGGCA
rnacentral:tRNA from 1 species